rnacentral:hammerhead_ribozyme from 1 species
AUCCAGCUGAAGAGUACGAAAUAGGACGAAACGCACGUCCUUGAU